AGCAGCCGCGGUAAUUCCAGCUCCAAUAGCGUAUAUUAAAGUUGUUGCAGUUAAAAAGCUCGUAGUUGAACUUCAGGCCUGGCUGGACGGUCCGCCUUCUGGGUGAGUACUGUCUGUGGUCGGGUCCUACCUUCUGGCGAAGCGUCAUAGCCUUCACCGGCCGUGGCGGGGAGCCAGGACUUUUACUGUGAAAAAAUUAGAGUGUUCAAAGCAGGCACGCGCUUGAAUACAUUAGCAUGGAAUAAUGGAAUAGGACAGUGGUUCUAUUUGUUGGUUUCUAGGACCGUUGUAAUGAUUAAUAGGGAUAGUUGGGGGCAUUAGUAUUCAAUUGUCAGAGGUGAAAUUCUUGGAUUUAUUGAAGACUAACUACUGCGAAAGCAUUUGCCAAGGAUGUUUUCAUUAAUCAAGAACGAAAGUUAGGGGAUCGAAGACGAUCAGAUACCGUCGUAGUCUUAACCAUAAACUAUGCCGACUAGGAAUCGGGCGAUGUUGACAA
rnacentral:rRNA from 1 species